GAUGAACGCUGGCGGCGCGCCUAACACAUGCAAGUCGAACGGUUAAAGCAUCUUCGGAUGUGCAUAAAGUGGCGAACGGCUGAGUAACACGUGGGCAACCUGCCCCUCGCAUCGGGACAGCCUCGGGAAACCGUGGUUAAUACCGGAUACUCCGCCACCCCCGCAUGGGGGAGGCGGGAAAGCCCAGACGGCGAGGGAUGGGCCCGCGGCCUGUUAGCUUGUUGGUGGGGCAGUGGCCCACCAAGGCGAUGAUGGGUAGCCGGGUUGAGAGACCGACCGGCCAGAUUGGGACUGAGACACGGCCCAGACUCCUACGGGAGGCAGCAGUGGGGAAUCUUGCACAAUGGGCGAAGGCCUGAUGCAGCGACGCCGCGUGCGGGACGAAGGCCUUCGGGUCGUAAACCGCUUUCAGCAGGGACGAGGCCGCAAGGUGACGGUACCUGCAGAAGAAGCCCCGGCUAACUACGUGCCAGCAGCCGCGGUAAUACGUAGGGGGCGAGCGUUAUCCGGAUUCAUUGGGCGUAAAGCGCGCGUAGGCGGCCUGCUAGGUCGGGAGUCAAAUCCGGGGGCUCAACCCCCGUCCGCUCCCGAUACCGGCUGGCUUGAGUCUGGUAGGGGAAGGUGGAAUUCCCAGUGUAGCGGUGGAAUGCGCAGAUAUUGGGAAGAACACCGGUGGCGAAGGCGGCCUUCUGGGCCACGACUGACGCUGAGGCGCGAAAGCUAGGGGAGCGAACAGG
rnacentral:rRNA from 1 species